rnacentral:misc_RNA from 1 species
UUAAGUUCAGCGGGUAUCCCUACCUGAUCCGAGGUCAACCUUUAAAAAAUUUGGGGUUAUUGGCAGGUACACAGACGGGUCAUCAGAGCGAGAAAAAUUACUACGCUUGAAGCCGAAUGGCAUCGCCACUGAUUUUACGGCACACUUUUACAAGUGAGGCCUAAUACCAAGCAUAGCUUGAGGGUUGUAAUGACGCUCGA